GGUCCGUUGGUCAAGUGGUCAAGACGCCGCCCUCUCACGGCGGAAACACGGGUUCGACUCCCGUACGGACUA
rnacentral:tRNA from 1 species